rnacentral:rRNA from 1 species
GAUGAACGCUGACAGAAUGCUUAACACAUGCAAGUCGAUGGGGAAGUGGUGCUUGCACCAUGGUAACCAUGGCGGACGGGUGAGUAACGCGUAAGGAACUUACCUGCGGGACCGGGAUAACAGCAGGAAACUGCUGACAAGACCGGAUAAGGUCAUUAAGCUGCAUAGCUUAGUGAUGAAAGGAGACGCCUGCGGAGAGCCUUGCGUCCUAUUAGCUAGUUGGAGGGGUAACGGCCCACCAAGGCGAAGAUAGGUAGCCGGCCUGAGAGGGUGGACGGCCACAAGGGGACUGAGAUACGGCCCUUACUCCUACGGGAGGCAGCAGUGGGGAAUAUUGGACAAUGGGGGCAGCCCUGAUCCAGCAAUUCUGUGUGCACGAAGACGGUUUUCGGAUUGUAAAGUGCUUUCAGCAGGGAAGAAGGAAGUGACGGUACCUGCAGAAGAAGCGACGGCUAAAUACGUG